rnacentral:rRNA from 1 species
UUGAAAGGGAAACGAUUGAAGUCAGUCGUGCUGGCGCAAUCAACCCCCUCAUCGGGAGANCCAUNUGUGGCGAGCCUCAAAACCGCCACACAUUNCUCACNNANNNNNCACUUUCGUGCCCUNUUAACAUCAAUUUCGAACGUCAUAAAAAGGCUGGAGGGAUGUGGCUCCUUCGGGAGUUAUAACCUUUAGCGGAAUGUGGUGUUCGGGAUUGAGGAUUGCAACGAAUACCUUUAGGGCUGUUCCACCUGGCUUCUCUUUGGUAUCCUGGUGACGACAGCUUGCUGACGUUGUUAGGAUUCGCCUUUGAACAGGCUAGAGUGUGAGCAAAUUCGUUAAGGAUGUUGACGUA